rnacentral:rRNA from 1 species
AAAUUGAAGAGUUUGAUCAUGGCUCAGAUUGAACGCUGGCGGCAGGCCUAACACAUGCAAGUCGAGCGGAAACGAGUUAUCUGAACCUUCGGGGAACGAUAACGGCGUCGAGCGGCGGACGGGUGAGUAAUGCCUAGGAAAUUGCCCUGAUGUGGGGGAUAACCAUUGGAAACGAUGGCUAAUACCGCAUAAUGCCUACGGGCCAAAGAGGGGGACCUUCGGGCCUCUCGCGUCAGGAUAUGCCUAGGUGGGAUUAGCUAGUUGGUGAGGUAAUGGCUCACCAAGGCGACGAUCCCUAGCUGGUCUGAGAGGAUGAUCAGCCACACUGGAACUGAGACACGGUCCAGACUCCUACGGGAGGCAGCAGUGGGGAAUAUUGCACAAUGGGCGCAAGCCUGAUGCAGCCAUGCCGCGUGUGUGAAGAAGGCCUUCGGGUUGUAAAGCACUUUCAGUCGUGAGGAAGGUAGUGUAGUUAAUAGCUGCAUUAUUUGACGUUAGCGACAGAAGAAGCACCGGCUAACUCCGUGCCAGCAGCCGCGGUAAUACGG